rnacentral:lncRNA from 1 species
CCCCUGGCCUUAAAGGGUGUUAUUUCGAACUUAUCGAAAUAGUAACCCGUCGUCAUUCGAUCGAGGUCGAACUUUUCUUUUUGGCGAAGGCCUCUGGCCUUAAAGGGUGUUAUUUGAAACUUAUCGAAAUAGUAACCCAUUUUCGUUCGAUCGAGGUCGAACUCUUCUUUUUGGUGAAGGCCUCUGGCCUUAAAGGGUGUUAUUUCAAACUUAUCGAAAUAGUAACCCGUCGUCGUUCGAUCGAGGUCGAACUCUUCUUUUUGGCGAAGGCCCCUGGUCUUAAAGGGUGUUAUUUCGAACUUAUCAAAAUAGUAACCCGUCAUCGUUCAAUAGAAGUCGAACUCUUCUUUUUCGCAAAAGCCCCUGGCCUUAAAGGGUGUUAUUUCGAACUUAUCGAAAUAGUAACCCGUCGUC